rnacentral:lncRNA from 1 species
CAACAUGUGGAAAGAGUCAAGGGGUCUGAAUACUUUCCAAAUGCACUGAAUAUAUAUCUAAUAUAUAUUUUUAGCUAAACAGGUGGGGCUCUAAACAGGUGGGGCUCUAAACAGAUGGAGCUCAAAACAAGUGGGGCUCUAAACAGGUGGGGCUCAAAACAGGUGGGGCUCUAAACAGGUGGGGAUCUAAACAGGUGGGGAUCUAAACAGGUGGGGCUCUAAACAGGUGGGGAUCCAAACAGGUGGGGCUCUAAACAGGUGGGGCUCUAAACAGGUGGGGCUCUAAACAGGUGGGGCUCAAAACAGGUGGGGCUCAAAACAGGUGGGGCUCUAAACAGGUGGGGAUCUAAACAGGUGGGGCUCUAAACAGGUGGGGCUCAAAACAGGUGGGGCUCUAAACAGGUGGGGAUCUAAACAGGUGGGGAUCUAAACAGGUGGGGCUCUAAACAGGUGGGGAUCUAAACAGGUGGGGCUCUAAACAGGUGGGGCUCUAAACA